CAACGGCCCGUGGCCCCGUGUAGUAAGUAUAACAUAUUCAGCUGUUGGUUUGAAAACUAGAGGAUGCUAUGAUUUCAGCGUAGUUAAACCGGUACGAUGUCAGCUAGCUUAAAACUACCAGAUUGCCACUUUGAUUAUUCCAGGCAGCGGUUAACCGUUAUCUAUUUAUACCGGUAUCCUACCUUUUCCGUAAUUAGAAGUUGCCGAAACCUUUCCUAUCCUUCUGCAAUCCCAAAUCCAUGAUGGCCGACAUCUGUCCACUGACCAAUAAGAAUUGAAGGAAAAGAAAGAGGAUAGGUAAACAAAAGGAAGAAAGAAGAGUAAAGUUUAAACACAAAACACCUCCAUUACAUUAGUUAGUUUUGCAUGGCGAAUUGGCAAUCAAAGAACUAGAACUAAAAAUUAUUGCUUUUCUUUAUUUACAUUGAACGCCUUUUUUCAGACACAAGACGACUGUUGGUUUAGUGUAAUGAUGUUUUAUAUCGAGUUACUUAAAAAGAAAAAAGUGAAUGAAAAUGCUUUAAAUUUCUUUUGAACUUGUUAGAAAUCUGUUCCUUCACUCAUUUAGCAGAAUUAUUUGUCUAGAAAAUGACUGAUGUGAUGCCCUAUCAUUUUUAAUUAAUGUAUUUUAGUAUUUGUCUCACACAUUGUGUCUUGCAUGUUUCGUUGAUGUAGUUCAGGAUGACAGUUAAUUACGUUAAAUUGGACUGCAUCUACAUAGGCAACACCUGAGAUCAGCCACAACAAGAAACAACCAGUCAUUAUCAAACUUCUCUGCAAACUUUUGUUUUUAAUUUAUAGGGAAAUUCAAAUUGGUUUGAUUUCGUCCAACAGUCCUAGUUGGCUUUCUCCUCCCAUCUUCUCUGUCGAAUGUUGCAUCACCUGAAACACAACCUCACUGUAAGAGAGUGAUUGUCACUUAUUGAGUGACAUUGAUUAAUGUUAAACCUACAAUGGAUUUGAUGAGAUAACCACUCAAAACGACAGGAAUCGUUAUCGGCCAAGGUUUUCGUGAUGCUCUUCCACUUGCUUCCGUUGUUAUGUGAAAAUCGCAACCGGGAGUUACAAAACGGUUUGCGGGCCAAGUCCAACAAAGACACGCCUUCAUUUGCGGACAACUGGGUCUGCUUAGCCUCUACUCUCUGCAGCAAUGGAUCAAACGUCGCCCUCGCCAACCAAACGUAGAAAGAAUAUUGCCUAGAACUGUUUCAUCAAUCUAGAACUGCAUCGAAUGGGCUGGACAUCCCCAGGAGGCCACAAUAUUGAACACGACAGAGUUCGACGAUCGAAAAAAGUGGCAGUUUCAUUUCUUUUUCUCUAUUCACGAGGGCGUCCUUUUUCCCACCUGGUGUCAACUAACUUUAAUAGUUUCUCUGUGGAUUGGAACACCAGGAGACGCCCCGGCGGUAUUUCACAGGCUUCAAGACCUCCAACUAUAACUGAUCUGCCUUUACCUUGAAAUUUUGCGCCGCUAUAAUUGAAAAAGGUUUCAGAAUGAGCGUCGUUUGUGCUGACGGAGUCGGUUUGCACGAUAAUGUUGGGAUUAUCAGAAUUUGCUUUCUUCAUCAUAGCCCCUUUGAAAUUUAGCCUAUGCAACCCUUAGGGAAUAAUACCCGUUCCGGUAUAUGUAAAGUUAAAUUUUUUAAUGUCGUUAUUGCAAGUGUAUUAUUACAACAGCAUCACCCAUUCGUUCGGAUAAGUACCAUGCGCUAACCGACUGAAACCACUGGAGAUUAUUCAAAUAAUAAUAAUAAUUUUUUU